AAAAAAAAGAAAAAAGAAAAAAAGAUUACUACACGGUGAAAGGAGGAAGAGAGAUUGAGAGAAAAGAGAGAUAGAGAAAUAGAGAGGCAGAGAUAGAGAGAGACAUCACCAUAAGGGCGCCUUUCGUUUCUCCUAUUCGGAUACUUUCUUUUCGCUUCCUUUUCAAUUUUCUUAACACCGAUGCCUGCGAUCCAGAGAUAGAGAAGGAGGAAAAAAAUACACCUUGCGAUACAGAGUUGAGAAGGAGACAGUCAUUGAGAGAACUACCACCGGUUUGGAGAGCGAAAAAACAGAGAAAUAAGAGAGAAGGAGAGAGUUCUCCGUCCCUCUCUAGACUUAGAGCACCGCUGCAAGCACAUGGGGAAAGAAAAAUCUAUGGGCAUCAACACCGUUAGGCUACAUAUCUGCCACCAUCAAAUCGUUGGAACCGGCUCCGUUUUCCUAGAUUAUCUGCUGCUAAACAAUCUCAAAACCGAGACUUCUUGCCAAGUGCCAAAUCAAGUUCAAAGGUUUCAUAAGAGGGAUAAUCAUUCCAGUACAAACCAAAAGAAAAGAAGACUGGGAUAGAGAGAGGGAGUUCACUAGGCCAUAUGCCUGCCAAAGUCCGAUCUCACACCACCAUCAAACUCGGGUUCUUCUUUUACCCUUUUUAAAAGUAGUUGGGUUGAUUCUAGUGAAGCGAAGAAUUAUUAAUGAAGACAAAUGCCAUAUCUGUACAAGGGAGGCGGAGACAGCAAUUCACGUGUUAUGGGACUGUGCUGCGGUAACAGAUGUGUGGGCUGGGAGUAUUCCAAAACUGCAGAAGGGAGCUUCGGUUUUCUGAGAUGUUAUGCAGCUGGUGGAGUAUCUCAUGGACUAGCUCUCAACUGAAGAAAUGGAGCUGUUUUGGGUGCAAUGUUGACUCGUAUAGAACCAACGUAACUGUGUACUAUAUGAAGGAUAGCUAAAGAACCCGACCAGUCUCAACAAGAGAGCAGAGGAGUUUUUGCAGGAUUUUAAGCAAGCCCAAGUGCAUUUAACAGUGAGUCCAAUGGAGCAACCAAGUGGUGAAGUCUGACAGCCACCUCCACCAAUGGUAUAUAAGCUAAACUUUGAUGUAGCAAUAUUUUCAAGGAUGGAGAAAUCUGGUAUAGGAGCAAUAAUUCGAAAUGAGAGGGGCGAAGCUAUGGCUAGUAUGUCUGCUAUUGGGCCGAAGGUGGAAGCAGGUGAGGAAGUUGAACUGUUGGUGUGCAGAAGAUCUCUUGAAUUUACUGUGGAUGCUGGUUUCACUAGAGUAAUGAUCGAGGGAGAUAAUACCAAUGUUAUGCAAGCUAUUUCUACAGAUGUGGCUAACUAUUCAUUCCUAGGCAAUGUGGUUGAUGAUAUUCACCAUUUGAUGUCUAGUUUACAAUGGAUUACAACUAGUAAGAUUAGGAGGGGUAGUAAUAAGGUAGCACAUGUUCUUGCGCAACAUACUAGAAAUUUAGAAUCUGAUUUGUAUUGGUUGGAGGAUUCUCCCCCACCAGCUUUGGAAGCCUUGUAUUAGGAUUCAUUAUUAUUAUGAUUAAAUGAAUGAAGUUUCUUUCUCAAAAAA